AGCUAAGAAGCUAAACAUGGGCCCUAGCGUUAGCCUUUUAAGCUAAAGAUUGGUGACUCCCGACCACCCUUAGCUG
rnacentral:tRNA from 1 species